UGGAGGCAGCAGUGGGGAAUAUUGGACAAUGGGCGAAAGCCUGAUCCAGCCAUGCCGCGUGAAUGAUGAAGGCCUUAGGGUUGUAAAGUUCUUUCAACGGUGAAGAUAAUGACGGUAACCGUAGAAGAAGCCCCGGCUAACUUCGUGCCAGCAGCCGCGGUAAUACGAAGGGGGCUAGCGUUGUUCGGAAUUACUGGGCGUAAAGCGCACGUAGGCGGACUUUUAAGUCAGGGGUGAAAUCCCGGGGCUCAACCCCGGAACUGCCUUUGAUACUGGGAGUCUAGAGUAUGGUAGAGGUGAGUGGAAUACCGAGUGUAGAGGUGGAAUUCGUAGAUAUUCGGUAGAACACCAGUGGCGAAGGCGGCUCACUGGACCAUUACUGACGCUGAGGUGCGAAAGCGUGGGGAGCAAACAGGAUUAGAUACCCGCGUA
rnacentral:rRNA from 1 species